UCCAAUAAUUUCAACCUCAAGAGUGCAGCAGAAACUUUUUGCUUUGUGAUUUUGUGUGGAUUUACAAUACUGUGUGCUUACCUAACAGUUUACCAUGCUUUAUUAUUUUUUUUUUUUAAUCAUACACUGUCAUGAAAACACCAUUUGACAAAUUAAUUAAAUAAAUACAGACUGCAAACUAAAUAUUCUAUACACAUUUCGCUACGUUACCACGCUGAAACUACUGUUAUUGGUUGUUUCACCGGUUUACUUUGAUCAUGAUUGGUUAAUCUUUCUGUCUUCCAGGAAACUGGCCAAUGACAAAAUGCGCGCCUAUUUUAAGUUUGAAAAUACGUCCGUUAUUGUUUGAGUCGGUAUGAGGUGAGCAUCUGCUCUGCUGAUUAUUACCCCGUCGGACACGGAUUAUUUUAAAAAUUCUUGUUAAAUUCUUAUUUUGAGCGAAUUUGAGUUGUGAUAUGUCAAUGAAGGACAAAAGCUGGAAUGUGAACAGAGGAUGGGGUCGUAAUGUUACGUGGUCUGUAAAAAUACUGGCGAAAUCACUAAAGGUUAAGCAUUGGAAUAUGAUUUUUUCGGGGGGAGAACACCCAAAUAGAGACAAAUCCACCAACUACAUGAAAGGUCAUGUCACCUACCUUCAUCAGUCCUGUCUUUAA